GAUAAUGGGGGCAGUUUAUAACCAAGAUAAAGGUAGAGUUCAGAGGUGUUUGAGUAUUUACCAUGGCUCUACAGUACAGCUUCAAGGGCAGGAAUGAUUAUGACACAAAUAGGUCUGUUAUUCUUGGCCAUAUAUUUCUGCAAGUGUGUAGAACUAGCACCUUUGCCGCUUUCUUACUUGGACACUAGUGACAAGCUGGUUCAGCAUGACGAGGAAGUGGAGAUUCCUUUGCCACUCGUUUCUGCAAGACCACUACUCUCAACUUUUCCUUCAGGUAGACUUACAGCCUCAUUGAUUCCACAAAAAAAUCCACUACCUGCAGCUCCAGAAAUACAGUAUGUUCCAGAAGAACCACCAACAUCAUCUCUACUUCCAGGAGAACCAUUGCCUUCAUCAUUAUCUCCAGCAGACUCAUUGUCUUCUUCAUUGUCACCUACAGCAAAACCAGUAUCAUCACUUGUUGUAUCAAACAAAACUGCCUUCACCAUCAGUCCCUUUGCCUUCAUCUUUAGCCCCUUCAGAUCGAUUGUCUCCACUGCUAACUCAGACAGAAUCUAUGCAUUCAUCUUCGUCACCAGAUGUUCUUCCAGUCACCAAUUCUUCAGGGAUACCAUCAUCUAAAAAGAAUGACUCCAGAUGGUCUAGAGAAGACUUAAGGGUGUUGGCUUUUGCAGCCUUCCUGAUGCUCCUUCUUCCUUUCUUAAUCUUAUGGGUAGUGACUGUAAGAGGAUCUGCAAGCAGAAUGCAACAGCUGUACUCUAGACUUGGCCAUGAAUCUGACGACUAUGAGGAUACUGCUGUUUGAUACUCGCAAAUAAAUAAACUGAUAAUAUUCUU